rnacentral:rRNA from 1 species
UACGUAGGUGACAAGCGUUGUCCGGAUUUACUGGGCGUAAAGAGCGCGCAGGCGGUCGUUCAAGUCGAGUGUGAAAGCCCCCGGCUCAACUGGGGAAGGUCACUCGAUACUGAUCGACUUGAAGGCAGGAGAGGGAAGCGGAAUUCCCGGUGUAGUGGUGAAAUGCGUAGAUAUCGGGAGGAACACCAGUGGCGAAGGCGGCUUCCUGGCCUGUUCUUGACGCUGAGGCGCGAAAGCUAGGGGAGCAAACGGG